GAGCUAGCUUCGGCAGCACAUAUACUAAAAUUGGAAUGAUACAGAGAGGAUUAGCACGGCCCCUGCACAAGGAUAACACACAAAUUCGGGAAGUGUUCUUUUUUUUU